rnacentral:rRNA from 1 species
UACGUAGGUGGCAAGCGUUGUCCGGAUUUAUUGGGCGUAAAGCGCGCGCAGGCGGUACGGUAAGGCUGCCGUGAAAUCGCCCGGCUCAACUGGGCGGGGGCGGUGGCGACUGCCGCACUGGAGGCACUCAGAGGCCGGUGGAAUUCCCGGUGUAGUGGUGAAAUGCGUAGAGAUCGGGAGGAACACCAGUGGCGAAGGCGGCCGCCUGGGGGUGACCUGACGCUGAGGCGCGAAAGCGUGGGGAGCGAACCGG